AUUGAACGCUGGCGGCAGGCCUAACACAUGCAAGUCGAGCGGAUGAAGGGGCUUGGUUCCUGGGUUCAGGGGGGGAGGGGGAGGUAUGACUAAGAAUUGAGCAGGCUGUGGGGGGCUACGGUCUGAAAAGGGGAGCGAUCUCCUAAUACCUCCUAUGGAGUAAGGUGGGGAUUUUUGGAGCUUGAGACGUUUAGUUGAGCUUAGGUGGGAUUAGCGAGUUGGUGGGUUAAGGGCCUACCAGGGGGCCCACCCGUAACUGGUCUGAGAGGAUGAUCAGUCACACGGGAACUGAGACACGGUCCAGACUCCUACGGGAGGCAGCAGUGGGGAAUAUUGGACAAUGGGCGAAAGCCUGAUCCAGCCAUGCCGCGUGUGUGAAGAAGGUCUUCGGAUUGUAAAGCACUUUAAGUUGGGAGGAAGGGCAGUAAGUUAAUACCUUGCUGUGUUGACGUUACCAACAGAAUAAGCACCGGCUAACUUCGUG
rnacentral:rRNA from 1 species